GCCAGGCAUGGUGGAUGGCGCCUGCCUGUAAUCCCAGCAUCUUGAGAGGCUGAGGCAGGAGGAUCACAAGUUCAAAGCUAGCCUCAGCAAAAGUGAGGUGCUAAAUAACUCGGUGAGACUCUGUCUCUA
rnacentral:sRNA from 1 species